GCCUGUCUCCUGGUAGCGCCUCCAUGCUCUGGACACUACGCUGACAGACACAGCAAACCUUCUUGCCACAGCUCGCAUUGAUGUGCCAUCCUGGAUGAGCUGCACUACCUGAGCCACUUGUGUGGGUUGUAGACUCCGUCUCAUGCUACCACUAGAGUGAAAGCACCGCCAGCAUUCAAAAGUGACCAAAACAUCAGCCAGG